AGUGAACGCUGGCGGUAGGCCUAACACAUGCAAGUCGAACGGCAGCACAGUAAGAGCUUGCUCUUACGGGUGGCGAGUGGCGGACGGGUGAGGAAUACAUCGGAAUCUACUUUUUCGUGGGGGAUAACGUAGGGAAACUUACGCUAAUACCGCAUACGACCUACGGGUGAAAGCAGGGGAUCUUCGGACCUUGCGCGAUUGAAUGAGCCGAUGUCGGAUUAGCUAGUUGGCGGGGUAAAGGCCCACCAAGGCGACGAUCCGUAGCUGGUCUGAGAGGAUGAUCAGCCACACUGGAACUGAGACACGGUCCAGACUCCUACGGGAGGCAGCAGUGGGGAAUAUUGGACAAUGGGCGCAAGCCUGAUCCAGCCAUACCGCGUGGGUGAAGAAGGCCUUCGGGUUUUAAAGCCCUUUUGUUGGGAAAGAAAGGCAGCAGGUUAAUACCCCGCUGUUCUGACGGUACCCAAAGAAUAAGCACCGGCUAACUUCGUG
rnacentral:rRNA from 1 species